rnacentral:sRNA from 1 species
UCAAUAUCAAAAUAACGUCACACAUAUACCGUCACGUGUUCCUGGGUGCCUCCCUAGCUUGAUUUUUGUUAGGGGGUUGGAUUCGCGGGGUGUAUGGAGGCCUAAC